rnacentral:rRNA from 1 species
UACAGAGGUCCCGAGCGUUGUUCGGAUUCAUUGGGCGUAAAGGGUGCGUAGGCGGUCUGUUGCGUCCGCUGUGAAAACUCGGGGCUUAACCCCGGGCCUGCAGUGGGUACGGGCAGACUAGAGUGCGGUAGGGGAGACUGGAAUUCCUGGUGUAGCGGUGAAAUGCGCAGAUAUCAGGAGGAACACCGGUGGCGAAGGCGGGUCUCUGGGCCGAUACUGACGCUGAGGAGCGAAAGCGUGGGGAGCGAACAGG